rnacentral:rRNA from 1 species
CCUGACUGCUAUCGGAUUGAUACUAAGCCAUGCUAGUCUUUGUAGUAAUACAAGGCAUACGGCUCAGUAACGCGUAGUCAACCUACCCUAUGGACGGGGAUAAUCUCGGGAAACUGAGCAUAAUACCCGGUAGACCACUUAUCCUGGAAUGGUUAGUGGUUAAAAUGAUUCGUCGCCAUAGGAUGGGACUGCGGCCUAUCAGCUUGUUGGUGAGGUAAUGGCCCACCAAGGCGAUUACGGGUACGGGCUCUGAGAGGAGAAGCCCGGAGAUGGGUACUGAGACAAGGACCCAGGCCCUAUGGGGCGCAGCAGGCGAGAAAACUUUGCAAUGUGCGAAAGCACGACAAGGUUAAUCCGAGUGAUUUCUGUUAAAGGAAUCUUUUGUUAGUUCUAAAAAUACUAGUGAAUAAGGGGUGGGCAAGUUCUGGUGUCAGCCGCCGCGGUAAAACCAGCACCUCAAGUGGUCAGGAGGAUUAUUGGGCCUAAAGCAUCCGUAGCCUGUUCUAUAAGUUUGCGGUUAAAUCUAUACGCUCAACGUAUAGGCUGCCGUAAAUACUGUAGAACUAGGGAGUGGGAGAGGUAGACGGUACUCGAUAGGAAGGGGUAAAAUCCUUUGAUCUAUUGAUGACCACCUGUGGCGAAGGCGGUCUACCAGAACACGUUCGACGGUGAGGGAUGAAAGCUGGGGGAGCAAACCGGAUUAGAUACCCGGGUAGUCCCAGCUGUAAACGAUGCAGACUCGAUGAUGCAAUGGCAUAGAGCUAUUGCAGUAUCGCAGGGAAGCCGUUAAGUCUGCCGCCUGGGAAGUACGUACGCAAGUAUGAAACUUAAAGGAAUUGGCGGGGGAGCACCACAAGGGGUGAAGCCUGCGGUUC